UACGGGGGAUGGGUGAGCUGUUGGUCGAAUGACUGGGCGUAAAGCGCGCGUAGGCGGAUCAGGAAGUUGGGGGGUGAAAUCCCGGGGCUCAACCCCGGAAUGGCCUUCAAAACUCCUGGUCUUGAGUUCGAGAGAGGUGAGUGGAAUUCCGAGUGUAGAGGUGAAAUUCGUAGAUAUUCGGAGGAACACCAGUGGCGAAGGCGGCUCACUGGCUCGACACUGACGCUGAGGUGCGAAAGCGUGGGGAGCAAACAGG
rnacentral:rRNA from 1 species